rnacentral:rRNA from 1 species
GACGAACGCUGGCGGCGUGCUUAACACAUGCAAGUCGAACGGUGAAGGGACUGGUUUUGCUGGUCCUGGAUGAGUGGCGAACGGGUGAGUAACACGUGAGUACCCUGCCCCCUUCUUCUGGAUAACCGCAUGAAAGUGUGGCUAAUACGGGAUAUUCUGGGUCUGUCGCAUGGUGGGCCUGGGAAAGAUUGCGCCUUUUUUGGUGUUUUUGGUGGGGGAUGGGCUCGCGGCCUCUCAGCUUGUUGGUGGGGUGAUGGCCUACCAAGGCGGUGACGGGUAGCCGGCCUGAGGGGGUGGACGGUCACACUGGGGAUGAGACACGGCCCAGACUCCUACGGGAGGCAGCAGUGGGGAAUAUUGCACAAUGGGCGCAAGCCUGAUGCAGCGACGCCGCGUGAGGGAUGGAGGCCUGCGGGUUGUGAACCUCUUUCGCCAGUGAAGCAGGCCUGCCUCUUUGUGUGGGUGGGUUGACGGUAGCUGGAUAAGAAGCGCCGGCUAACUACGCG